UACGGGGGGGCAAGCGUUGUUCGGAAUUACUGGGCGUAAAGGGCUCGUAGGUGGCCAAUUAAGUCAGACGUGAAAUCCCCAGGCUUAACCUGGGAACUGCGUCUGAUACUGGUUGGCUUGAAUUCGGGAGAGGGAUGCAGGAAUUCCAGGUGGUAGCGGUGAAAUGCGUAGAUAUCUGGAAGGAACAUCGGUGGCGAAGGCGGCAUCCUGGACCGGUAUUGACGCUGAGGCG
rnacentral:rRNA from 1 species